UACGAAGGGUGCAAACGUUGCUCGGAAUUAUUGGGCGUAAAGCGCACGUAGGCGGCUUGGCAAGUCGGAUGUGAAAUCCCUCGGCUCAACCAAGGAAGUGCAUCCGAAACUGCUGAGCUUGAGUACGAAAGAGGAUCGCGGAAUUCCCGGUGUAGAGGUGAAAUUCGUAGAUAUCGGGAGGAACACCAGUGGCGAAGGCGGCGAUCUGGGUCGAUACUGACGCUGAGGAGCGAAAGCGUGGGGAGCGAACAGG
rnacentral:rRNA from 1 species